rnacentral:antisense_RNA from 1 species
AGUUUUGGCGGGCUGUGUGGGGAGCCGCAAGGCUCGCCGGUUUUCUGUUUUCCCGGUCUACUAACCCACACAGUUCCGCCUCCCAU